AUUGAACGCUGGCGGCAGGCCUAACACAUGCAAGUCGAGCGGAUGAAGGGAGCUUGCUCCUGGAUUCAGCGGCGGACGGGUGAGUAAUGCCUAGGAAUCUGCCUGGCAGUGGGGGAUAAUGUCCGGAAACGGGCGCUAAUACCGCAUACGUCCUGCGGGAGAAAGUGGGGGAUCUUCGGACCUCACGCUAUCAGAUGAGCCUAGGUCGGAUUAGCUAGUUGGUGGGGUAAAGGCCUACCAAGGCGACGAUCCGUAACUGGUCUGAGAGGAUGAUCAGUCACACUGGAACUGAGACACGGUCCAGACUCCUACGGGAGGCAGCAGUGGGGAAUAUUGGACAAUGGGCGAAAGCCUGAUCCAGCCAUGCCGCGUGUGUGAAGAAGGUCUUCGGAUUGUAAAGCACUUUAAGUUGGGGGGAAGGGCAGUAAGUUAAUACCUUGCUGUUUUGACGGUACCAACAGAAUAAGCACCGGCUAACUUCGUG
rnacentral:rRNA from 1 species